rnacentral:lncRNA from 1 species
GUUUGUUGCCUAGGGCUGUUAUAUCACAGCAGCAGAACCAGCCUCUUCAGCCACCAGGCACACAUGACCAACCCCCAGCUAUGCCCUACUUUAAUAUUCCUCCACAGCCUCAGCAGGAGAGGGCAUUUUAUCCCUCGAUGGAUCCUCAAAGAAUGGGUGCUCUUGUACCAGCCCAAGAUGGAGCUUCAAGUGGACCAUCUGGGAGUGGUGAUAACAGAAGUGGUCCGGAGAAGCAGCAUCAGGGGCAGCAUUAUGCUUACCCUGGUGGACCACCACCUCCUCAAGGUCAAUUCUAUCAGCAAUAUUAUCCCCCUUACGGGUAUAUGCCACCUCCACCUCCUCCUUAUCAGCAAUACCCCCCCUAUCCGGCUUCAAUGGUUCCACCACCUCCCAGUAAUGCGACAAAUCAUCAACACCCCCCUCCUUAUCAGUCCAGAGUGCCUCCACCUCCCACCGGCACAGACCACCAAUCAGCUUAUCAGCACAGAGCACCACCUGGGUCCAAUCAACAGCAUCAUCCUCCUUAUCAGUCUGGAGUGCCGACACCAUCACCCAGUGCUCCACCGC